UCAAAAGGUCUUAGUGGCGAACGGGUGAGUAACACGUAAGUAACCUACCUUUAAGACGAGGAUAACAAUCGGAAACGGUUGCUAAGACUGGAUAGGAAACAGAAAGGCAUCUUUUUGUUUUUAAAAGACCUUCUUCGGAGGGUAUGCUUAAAGAGGGGCUUGCGCCACAUUAGUUAGUUGGUGAGGUAAAGGCUUACCAAGAUUAUGAUGUGUAGCUGGACUGAGAGGUUGAACAGCCACAUUGGGACUGAGACACGGCCCAAACUCCUACGGGAGGCAGCAGUAGGGAAUUUUCGGCAAUGGAGGAAACUCUGACCGAGCGACGCCGCGUGAACGAUGAAGUAUUUCGGUAUGUAAAGUUCUUUUAUUGAAGAAGAAAAAAUAGUGGAAAAACUAUCUUGACGUUAUUCAAUGAAUAAGCCCCGGCUAACUAUGUGCCAGCAGCCGCGGUAAGACAUAGGGGGCGAGCGUUAUCCGGAAUUAUUGGGCGUAAAGGGUGCGUAGGCGGUUAGAUAAGUCUAUAAUUUAAUUUCAGUGCUUAACGCUGUCUUGUUAUAGAAACUGUCUUGACUAGAGUGAGAUAGAGGCAAGCGGAAUUCCAUGUGUAGCGGUAAAAUGUGUAAAUAUAUGGAGGAACACCAGAAGCGUAGGCGGCUUGCUGGGUCUUUACUGACGCUGAGGCACGAAAGCGUGGGGAGCAAACAGGAUUAGAUACCCUGGUAGUCCACGCUGUAAACGAUGAGUACUAAGUGUCGGGGAAACUCGGUACUGAAGUUAACACAUUAAGUACUCCGCCUGAGUAGUACGUACGCAAGUAUGAAACUUAAAGGAAUUGACGGGACUCCGCACAAGCGGUGGAUCAUGUUGUUUAAUUCGAAGAUACACGAAAAACCUUACCAGGUCUUGACAUACUCUGCAAAGCUAUAGAAAUAUAGUGGAGGUUAUCAGGGAUACAGGUGGUGCAUGGUUGUCGUCAGUUCGUGUCGUGAGAUGUUAGGUUAAGUCCUAAAACGAACGCAACCCCUGUCGCUAGUUGCCAGCACGUAAUGGUGGGGACUUUAGCGAGACUGCCAAUUAAACAUUGGAGGAAGGUGGGGAUAACGUCAAAUCAUCAUGCCCCUUAUGAUCUGGGCUACAAACGUGAUACAAUGGCUAUUACAAAGAGUAGCUGAAACGCGAGUUUUUAGCCAAUCUCAAAAAGGUAGUCUCAGUACGGAUUGAAGUCUGCAACUCGACUUCAUGAAGCUGGAAUCGCUAGUAAUCGCGAAUCAGCAUGUCGCGGUGAAUACGUUCUCGGGGUUUGUACACACCGCCCGUCAAACCACGAAAGUUAGCAAUACCCGAAAGCAGUGGCUUAACUUCGCAAGAAGAGGGAGCUGUCUAAGGUAGGGUUGAUGAUUGGGGUUAAGUCGUAACAAGGUAUCCUUACCGGAAGGUGAGGAUGGAUCACCUCCUUU
rnacentral:rRNA from 1 species